rnacentral:sRNA from 1 species
CAGUUUCAAUCUGCUGGGGGCAUAUGAAAUGUAUAUGUGUAUCUAUUCCCCCUGCAGUUGCUAUAAGUCCCUCUCCGGCAAUGACCUCGGUGGAUGCUCCUAUUACAAGUCCGGGAGUCACCCCUUCCAUGAUAUCCGGAUUCCCCGACUUGCCUACCGCCACGAUCCUGCCGUCCUUUAUACCGAUAUCUCCCUUGACUAUGCCCCAGGAAUCUACUAUUACCGCAUUUGUUAUCAGCAUGUCCAGCGCCCCGCCGUCCCUUGAGACCGACGAGCUCUGACCCAUACCGUCCCUG